rnacentral:rRNA from 1 species
UAAGGAAUAUUGCGCAAUGGGCGAAAGCCUGACGCAGCGACGCCGCGUGGGGGAUGAAGGUCUUCGGAUUGUAAACCCCUUUCGGGAGGGAAGAUGGAAUGGGGUAACCCCAUUCGGACGGUACCUCCAGAAGCAGCCACGGCUAACUUCGUGCCAGCAGCCGCGGUAAUACGAAGGUGGCAAGCGUUAUUCGGAUUUACUGGGCGUACAGGGAGCGUAGGCGGUUCGGUAAGCCCUCUGUGAAAUCUUCAGGCUUAACCUGGAAAAGUCGGAGGGGACUGCUGGGCUAGAGGACGGGAGAGGAGCGCGGAAUUCCCGGUGUAGCGGUGAAAUGCGUAGAGAUCGGGAGGAAGGCCGGUGGCGAAGGCGGCGCUCUGGAACGUUUCUGACGCUGAGGCUCGAAAGCGUGGGGAGCAAACAGGAUUAGAUACCCCCGUAGUCCCUGAGCGGGCUGGCAAGGCGCAU